AGCAGCCGCGGUAAUUCCAGCUCCAAUAGCGUAUAUUAAAGUUGUUGCAGUUAAAAAGCUCGUAGUUGAAUUUCGGGGUUAGUAAGUUGGUCAUGCCUUUGGUAUGCACUGGCUUUACUGAUUCCUCCUUCUUGACGAACCGUGAUGUCAUUAAUUUGGUGUUGCGGGAAAUCAGGACUGUUACUUUGAAAAAAUUAGAGUGUUUAAAGCAGGCUAACGCUUGAAUACAUUAGCAUGGAAUAAUGAAAUAGGACGUUAAUCCUAUUUUGUUGGUUUCUAGGAUCGACGUAAUGAUUAAUAGGGAUAGUUGGGGGCAUUAGUAUUCAAUUGUCAGAGGUGAAAUUCUUGGAUUUAUUGAAGACUAACUACUGCGAAAGCAUUUGCCAAGGAUGUUUUCAUUAAUCAAGAACGAAAGUUAGGGGAUCGAAGACGAUCAGAUACCGUCGUAGU
rnacentral:rRNA from 1 species